rnacentral:rRNA from 1 species
AGUAGACCAAGGCGCUUGAGAGAACUCUGCUGAAGGAACUAGGCAAAAUGGUACCGUAACUUCGGGAGAAGGUACGCUGUUGUUGGUGAUGGAACUUGCUUCCUGAGCUGAUGACAGCCGCAGAAACCAGGCCGCUGCAACUGUUUAUUAAAAACAUAGCACUCUGCAAACACGAAAGUGGACGUAUAGGGUGUGAUGCCUGCCCGGUGCUGGAAGGUUAAUUGAUGGGGUUAGCGUAAGCGAAGCUCUUGAUCGAAGCCCCAGUAAACGGCGGCCGUAACUAUAACGGUCCUAAGGUAGCGAAAUUCCUUGUCGGGUAAGUUCCGACCUGCACGAAUGGCAUAAUGAUGGCGGCGCUGUCUCCAGCAGAGGCUCAGUGAAAUCGAAAUCGCUGUGAAGAUGCAGUGUACCCGCGGCUAGACGGAAAGACCCCGUGAACCUUUACUGCAGCUUGACACUGAACUUUGACCUUACUUGUGUAGGAUAGGUGGGAGGCUUUGAAGUUGGAACGCUAGUUCCAAUGGAGCCGUCCUUGAAAUACCACCCUGGUAAUGUUGAGGUUCUAACUCUGUCCCGUUAUCCGGGACGAGGACCGUGUCUGGUGGGUAGUUUGACUGGGGCGGUCUCCUCCUAAAGAGUAACGGAGGAGUACGAAGGUGCGCUCAGCGUGGUCGGAAAUCACGCGUAGAGUAUAAAGGCAAAAGCGCGCUUAACUGCGAGACCCACAAGUCGAGCAGGUACGAAAGUAGGUCUUAGUGAUCCGGUGGUUCUGUAUGGAAGGGCCAUCGCUCAACGGAUAAAAGGUACUCUGGGGAUAACAGGCUGAUACCGCCCAAGAGUUCAUAUCGACGGCGGUGUUUGGCACCUCGAUGUCGGCUCAUCUCAUCCUGGGGCUGAAGCAGGUCCCAAGGGUAUGGCUGUUCGCCAUUUAAAGAGGUACGCGAGCUGGGUUUAGAACGUCGUGAGACAGUUCGGUCCCUAUCUACCGUGGGCGCUGGAAAUUUGAGAGGAUCUGCUCCUAGUACGAGAGGACCAGAGUGGACGAACCUCUGGUGUACCGGUUGUGACGCCAGUCGCAUCGCCGGGUAGCUAUGUUCGGAAGGGAUAACCGCUGAAAGCAUCUAAGCGGGAAGCCUACCUCAAGAUAAGAUUUCCCUAGGAAUUUAUUCCUCUAAAGAGCCGUUCGAGACUAGGACGUUGAUAGGUUGGAUGUGGAAGCAUAGUGAUAUGUGAAGCUGACCAAUACUAAUUGCUCGUGAGGCUUGACUAU